GCUAAAGGAAGACUUCGUCCGGACUCUUACGGGAGCCGAACUCCGGGCUCCUCUCAAAUGGAUAGCUAACCACCCCUCUCCGCCUGACACUCCAGCCGAACUUCAGCCGACAGGUCUGCACUCCCUGGCGUGAUGCAGCAACGGCCACGAUCCUGCUCCACUUCCUGCGAUGGAUUCCACGUGGCUCCAUUACUCCCUGGCAGACCGCUAUGAUGCCCACAAUCCUGCUCCACUUCCUGCGAU
rnacentral:lncRNA from 1 species